GGGGAUGAGAUGUGGGGAAGAUGGAGAAGAUAUCAUACAUUCAGCACACACAGAUAUACACACAUGGAGACUGACAUGGGGGCACAGAUGUACACAAGAGUACAGGGGCCCAAAGACACACAGGAGCACUUAAUAGGGACACACAGGGACGCAUGGACACAUGGAGCCCAGACACGAGAAACACAGGUGGACACACAGGGAUUCACAGCAGGGUACUAAACACAUGCAGACACACACGGGGACACAGAGAGAUAUGACAGACAUAGGAACACACAAGGGUACAUGGAGACACACAGUCACAGACACAGAGAUAAACACAUUCAGAGACACACACAGGGAUCCAGAUGCACACAGGGACUUAGAGAGGACACAAAGACACACAGACCCACAGGAACACCCCAUAGGGUCUUUCUACACAAAGACACACGCAGGGACACACAGGGCCCCCUAUAAGCCUAAAUAUAGAGAGACACGGCCUCACAGACACAGGUAUGAGGCACACAUACACACUCACUCCACAGGAAGGGCUCCAAGAGAUGCAAAGAACCCCUGCUGGAACAGGCGGGAGCAGUGUGGCUCAGACAAGACUCUUAACUAAUCUCUCUGAACUUCAGAGGCUUCAUUUACGGAGUCAUAAUCCCUACCAUACCGGCUGCUAUGAGGGCUGAAUGGAACAGUGUCACCAAGUGCCAAGUAGGGGUUCAUUAGCCCAGCACCCAAUGUCCAUUGGUUCCUUAAAGCCAAAAGGAAGGGAAGUCCAUUAGCAACACCACAGACUAUAUUGUACACAAAAGAAUGUCCAAUAGUCCAGAAGGGACUCUCUCAGGACAGGCACUUGUUGGGUCACAGCCCGUUAAGCAAGGGUCAAGCCCAAAGUGGAGCCACACUAACAACUCCUUCGCACGACCUGCCCAGACUCUGCCUCCAGUCCCAGAAUUCAGAGUGUUUUGUGGCCAAGCCCCUGACCCCACCCCACCUCAUCUCCACUGUUCUUCCCAAUAUCUCAGCUCCAAGCCUACAGUUUCUCCUCUUCCCUAGACAUGCCAUGCUCUCCCUUCCAUUGAGGGCGCCUAACUUCUCCCUCUGUGUCUCCAAAUCAUAUCCCUCCUUCUCCUGCUUGCCCUGCUUGUCUGGGAAGAUCCUUUCUGACACCAGUUACCCUCUCUGUCCUGCUCUAUAAGGUCAUGACGUUUCCUUGCCUUCCCUCAUGCCUGGGGCUCAGAGAGGGGAAGUGAUGUACCCAGGGUCACACAUCUCAACAGUGGGAGAGCUGGGAUUUGAACUCAUGUGUAUUAGAGGCCAAAGCCCAGUGUCUCUUUGUGCUACACUCCAUAAAGACCUGGAGAUCAGGGGUUAUGUUUCAUAUGCACUCAAAUAGUUUCAGCACUUCGCUAUUAUAAGCAAUGCUUCAGUGAACAUCUUCCCAUUUUCGAUGAUGUCCUUAGCACGAAUUCUCAGGAGAGAAAGGAGUAGGCAAGGUGUACCUCAGUCUACUUAGGCUACAAAAGAACACCACACACAACAGAAAGUUCUUUCUCCCAGUUCUGGAGGCUGGAAAUCUCAGAUCAGGGUGGGAGCCUAGCUGGGUGUGAGCCCUCUUCCAGAGCACAGCGUUCUCACUGUGUCCUCACAUGGUAAAAAGGACUAGGGAGCUCUGCAGGAUCUUCUAGAAGAGCACGAAUCCUAUUCUCUGGAUAUGAACUGAAAAAUGACUAUUGGUAAUAAUGUCUUUCUGGUCCAUGCUGUUAUUGUUGCUCACCUGGUUAUCUGGACUGAAGGUACAUAUUUGGGCUAAAUGACCAGUAGAAGAGGUGACAGGCCUGAGAGAACCCUCAAAACCCCCUGGAGAGGAAGGCCCAGAACUCCAUCCAGACCCCGACUGUCAAAGGGGACAGUCUGAGCAGUCAGGUCUCCGGUUCUGAGAAGAUGGGGUGGCGGAUGGGAUGAGAAGCAGACUUUUGGGUGUUUCACACCUGCCCUGAAGUAGAUGGAUGUGGGGGCAAGACUUAAUUUGAAAGGAGGAGUUUGAAACCAGAGCUGACCAGUGCCAAGGUUUAUCUUGGCAAAACUCUUUAGUUCUUCCCACAAAAGUUCAUCAACACCUGCUCAGAGCCAGGCCUUGUAUGGAGGACCUCAAGAGUCUGGUUUGUCCCAGUAUGGAGACCCUCCUCGCGCCCCUGUCUCACGGAGCCCUGUGGCGGCCCAGGUGACCCUGGGUCCUCCCAGCUUCCUGAGCUCACCAUCUCUACGUCCCCUGACACAAACAUGCAUCCCAAGUCAUGCUGCCUCGAGUCACUGGGCAGAAUGUGAACACCAGGGUAACAGCCUUCCUCACUGCCACACAAUUCAGGGCUCCAGCGACCGCAGAGCUCUGUGAAAGGACUUUUUUCUUCUUUGGAUUUUACUUUUUUUUUUCAUCUCUGGGUCUAUUAUUCUCACAUUUAACUAACGUUCUGCUUGACUAAUAAGAUAUAACAGAAGCAGCUGGGACCACCUGGAAAAGCAUAUCUUUAGGAGGAGGGGGAGAGCCUUC